rnacentral:lncRNA from 1 species
CAGUUUGAGGUCAGUGAUGACACCAGGUCAUUUGGGCUCUGCAUAGCAAAGCUUAAAUGUGGAAAUACUUCCAAUAUCCUUGCACGAGGAAACCCCAGAAGAUUCAUGAUAAAUGUAUUUCCUUGUGCUUCACAGUUUACCACAGAGUAUGGAGGGGAGGAAACGUGAAGACACAGAUCUUUCUUCUUCUGCUCUUAAUGAGAAUCUGUUCACUUUGAUGAGCAUCAAAUCUCUCUCUGUUAAUUGCUGUUGAUAGAAGUGCAGAUUAAUCAAUAUUUCUAUACAUCAAGGCCUGUACCAGGCACAUCUGGAGAACCAAAAUAAGAGGAAAAGUCUCAGUACUGCCAGAGCCUAAGGCACAGAGUUUGCACAGUUGCAAGUGUUCCCUUCAUUGCAGAGUUAUUAAAAUGUCAUCUCACAGUCAUUAUAUCCUUACCUUAUAUCUUAAAACCCAUUUUAAAAAAUGCAUUCCUGGAGCUGGAUAUUUGCAGGAAGGGUGAGGACAAAGCACACCAUUUCUUUCAGCCUUCCUUGGAGCCUGUUCAGGCCAUUGUGUGGAGCUUUUCGCCUGACUGGUUUCCUGUAGCAGAACAUUCCAUGCAGGAUUCAUUUCUCCAGGUGAUUUGCAUACCUCCUGCUUGGAAGGGCCACAUCAGACCAGGGACACAGUUGUCCUGCUUGCUGGGAACUGCUGAAAGUCUGGCCUGGAAGAAAUGA